rnacentral:rRNA from 1 species
AUGCUUCUGCUGCUGUGUUGUGAGCCUGUCACUUUUAUUUCUCACUGGUUUUCUUCCCUUAGGAAGAAAACCUUCAGUUCAGAAUUUCUGCAGUUAACUGGUGUAGUCGAUUUUACUCCCAAUUUCAGUCCUCGGCGGGCUAGACAAUAUUUAGGCCCAGUUAUUUUGAUUGUAAAAGAAAUGGGGCUCAAAGAUUCUGGUAGAAGCUGGGUAGGGGUCGGAUUCCGGAAGAAUCCCCAGAUUCUGGCAAAAGAACUGGGCCUUAGUUGGCCAGAUGAAGCAACAAUAAUAGCUUUAUCUGUUGACAAGGGCUUUGUAGUACGGAUAGCAACUAACGCGAUGGGUAAAGAUCUAUUGUCAUGUUACCAUGUUGAGGAAUUUCCCCAGCCUUAUUGUGUUAUUGUGGUCGUUGCAAUUUAG